rfam:Otolemur garnettii contig043333, whole genome shotgun sequence.
GCUGGACACAGUGGCACAUGUCUGUAGUCCCAGUCACUCAGGAGGCUGAGACAGAGGAUCGCUUGAGUCCAGGAGUUCUGGGCUGUAGUGUGCUAUGCCCAUCAGGCGUCCACGCUAAGUUUAGCGUCAAUAUGUUCUGAGAGCUGGGGGAGGGCCACCAGGUUGCCUAAGGAGGGUGAACCAGCCCAGGUUGAAAACAGGGCAGGCCAGAAACUCCUGUGCUGCUCUGUUGUGAGAUUGGGCCUGGGAAUAGCCACUGCACCACUCCAGCCUGGGCAACAUAACGAGACCCUGCCUCAC